rnacentral:sRNA from 1 species
GCGCUCAUCACUGGCUGGAGACAGAGCCGGGCACCAAGGAGCGACAGGAUCCCGAAGAGAGAGAGAGAAGGCAGCGAGGGAAGGAGGACCCCGACAGGCAGCAGCAUGAAAUUCAGCCCAGCGCACUACCUGCUGCCUCUCCUGCCUGCGCUGGUCCUCAGCACCAGACAGGACUAUGAAGAGCUAGAAAAGCAGCUGAAAGAAGUCUUUAAGGAGCGAAGCACCAUUCUUCGUCAGCUGACAAAGACAUCAAGAGAACUUGAUGGAAUUAAAGUCAAUCUUCAGUCCUUAAAAAACGAUGAGCAGUCUGCCAAAACUGAUGUUCAGAAACUUCUGGAAUUAGGACAGAAACAAAGAGAAGAAAUGAAGUCUCUUCAGGAGGCCCUGCAAAAUCAGCUUAAGGAGACAUCAGAGAAAGCAGAAAAACACCAGGCUACUAUUAAUUUUUUAAAGACUGAAGUUGAAAGAAAGAGCAAAAUGAUCCGAGACCUCCAGAAUGAGGAUUCAAGGAAGAGACCAAGAGAUCUCCAGUGGAAGAUAGUCUCCAUGAGGACCAUGUCAAUAUACUUAUUGAUAUAUCUCUAGUACCUAGAAUAGUGGAGAUUUAUAUUAGAUACAAAAUAAAUAUGUGUAGAAUUAAUUAAUGA